GUACACGCUGUGACUAGCAUAUCAAUAAGCGGAGGAAAAGAAACUAACAAGGAUUCCCCUAGUAACGGCGAGUGAAGCGGGAAGAGCUCAAAUUUGAAAUCUUAAAGGGUUUCCCUUUACGAAUUGUAGUUUAAAGAAGUGUUUUCUGUUGAGGUUUUGGUAAAAGUUCUUUGGAAUAGGACAUCAUAGAGGGUGAGAAUCCCGUAUUUGACCUUUACUUUCAACUUUGUGAUACACUUUCAAAGAGUCGGAUUGUUUGGGAAUGCAGUCCAAAAUGGGUGGUAAAUUUCAUCUAAAGCUAAAUAUUGGCGAGAGACCGAUAGCGAACAAGUACCGUGAGGGAAAGAUGAAAAGAACUUUGAAAAGAGAGUUAAACAGUACGUGAAAUUGUCAAAAGGGAAGCGUUUGACACCAGUGUUGUUUUUCUGAAAAUCAAUUAAAGAACUGUUUAUGCUAAGUUGUUUAGACUUUAUCAGCUAACUGUUUAGUUUUGAGCUUUUCUUUAAUGCACUUUUCAGUUAACAAGUCAACAUCAAUUUCUUUUGCUGUAAAAAAGCUUGAGGAAGGUGGCUUGAGAUUCGUCUUAAGUGUUUAUAGCCUCUUGCCUAUGCAGUCGGAGAGAUUGAGGAUCUGCAGCGUAGAUCCUUCGGGGCUAAAUGCAUUUGUGCUAAGUUAUAGCAUUUUAUAGACAACUUGUUGACUAUGAUUUGUCUUGUAGCUUACUCGCUUAUGUUAUUUUACCUACGCUAGGAUGUUGACAGCAGUAUAGACUGU
rnacentral:rRNA from 1 species